GGUCGCCUAGUCUAGCGGUUAUGAUUUCUCCUUUACACGGAGAAGGUCGCAGGUUCGAUCCCUGCGGCGACCA
rnacentral:tRNA from 1 species